CAAAGUCCUCAACUUUUAAUCUCAGCCCUUCAAGUUCACUAAAAUCUUCUAGAGAGGGAGGUUUUUUUACGGUUUUCGUUUCCUUGAAUCUCUCCCCACGUCUUCUCCAAACGUCUUCAAAAGACGGAAUGUGUGCCAUCCCUCCUCUGUCUUCCUCACUUGUGCUUAUCGCCCUCACCAACUCCCUCCUCCUUAGUCUUCACCAAUCCUUACGCAUUGUCUCUUCUAUUUCUCUCUCAUCUUCAUCCAUUUACGCUUACGGAUUGCAAAACAAGGAACAAGCAAAGAUAUGGGUUUUCUUUCAAACAGAGUUUGGAGUAUUUACGUUGGAGUUCUGCGGUGGUGCGAACGGUUAUUGAUUGUUUCAACUCCAUUUUUGCUUUAGGGUUUAAGAGGUGUCUGGAAGCCACUGAUCAACAAAACCUCCAUCAACAACUGAAUAUCAAAGUCAAAUUUUUUUGAUAUGUCCAUUGUGUUGCAGAAUAAAGCUUUUGAAUAUGGAAAAUAUCAUAUUGAUUCUGCAACGCUUGAAAAUGGAUCAAGUUUGACAGCAAAUGUCUUGCCCUUGCCCUCAAGAAGGUAAGCGAUGAUAGAUUUGAAGAUAAGUUCAACAACAAAAAAGCAAAGAUUAGGGAUUGUAUCAAGAUAGUCGAUGGGAAUAUUAAUUAGAAGUGGAUCUUAGAUCAUACCAGUUAACAUGAGAAAGAUGAGUUGGAGAAAAUGGUGAUAUAUUUGGAACCAAUCAGAGUUGGCAUUGAGCAAGAUGAAUGGUUUCUGGAGAAUAACAGAAAUUAAAUGGUUUCU